rnacentral:lncRNA from 1 species
AAAAUUUGAGAAAUCAAGAUGUCUAAGUUUAUCAUUCAAGCUAGCAAAUUUGGUUCUCUUGAGAUGCUAGCUAUUUUCUUUCCCCUUUUGUCAUUGUAAACAAGAAAAAGAGGGGAAGAACAUAAUGGUGUAAAUGUUCAAGUCAUCACAAAAAUACAAAGGCGUCAUAUGAAAAUCAUGACAUGAAGCACAUCAAUAUCAAAUCAUGAAUGCCA